AUUGAACGCUGGCGGCAGGCCUAACACAUGCAAGUCGAGCGAGCGGCGGACGGGUGAGUAAUGUCUGGGGAUCUGCCUGAUGGCGGGGGAUAACUACUGGACACGGUAUCUAAUACCGCAUACCAUCAGAUGUACCCAGAUGGGAUUAGCUUGUAGGUGAGGUAACGGCUCACCUAGGCGACGAUCCCUAGCUGGUCUGAGAGGAUGAUCAGCCACACUGGGACUGAGACACGGCUCAGACUCCUACGGGAGGCAGCAGUGGGGAAUAUUGCACAAUGGGCGCAAGCCUGAUGCAGCCAUGCCGCGUGUAUGAAGAAGGCCUUCGGGUUGUAAAGUACUUUCAGCCGGGAGGCGUUACCCAAAGAAGAAGCACCGGCUAACUCCGUGCCAGCAGCCGCGGUAAUUG
rnacentral:rRNA from 1 species